rnacentral:rRNA from 1 species
UACGGAGGGUGCAAGCAUUAAUCGGAUUUAUUGGGCGUAAAGGGGCGUAGGUGGGAAGACAAGUCAGACGUGAAAUUCCGAAGCUUAACUUCGGAGCUGCAUCUGAAACUGUUUUCUAGAGGGUAGGCGGAGAAAACGGAAUUCCACAAGUAGCGGUGAAAUGCGUAGAUAUGUGGAAGAACACCGGUGGCGAAGGCGGUUUUCUAGCUUAUACCUGACACUGAUGCCCG